rnacentral:rRNA from 1 species
AGUAACGGCGAGUGAAGAGGGAAAAGCUCAAAUUUAGAAUCUGGCAGUCUUUGAUUGUCCGAGUUGUAAUUUAGAGAAGUGUUACCCGUGCUGGCCCGUGUAUAAGUCUCCUGGGAUGGAGCGUCAUAGAGGGUGAGAAUCCCGUCUUUGACACGGACUCCAGUACAUUGUGGUGCGCUCUCGAAGAGUCGAGUUGUUUGGG